GGAAUCAGCAUCGGCUAACUCCGUGCCAGCAGCCGCGGUAAGACGGAGGAUGCAAGCGUUAUCCGGAAUGAUUGGGCGUAAAGCGUCCGCAGGUGGCAGUUCAAGUCUGCUGUCAAAGACCGGGGCUUAACUUCGGAAAGGCAGUGGAAACUGAACAGCUAGAGUAUGGUAGGGGCAGAGGGAAUUCCUGGUGUAGCGGUGAAAUGCGUAGAGAUCAGGAGGAACACCAGUGGCGAAGGCGGCCUGCUGGACAGCAACUGACGCUGAGGCGCGAAAGCGGUGGGGAGACAAACAGGAUUAGAUACCCUGGUAGUCCACGCUAGUAAACGAUGGAUACUAGGUGUGGGGGGACUGACCCCCUCCGUGCCGCAGUUAACACAAUAAGUAUCCCACCUGGGGAGUACGAUCGCAAGGUUGAAACUCAAAGGAAUUGACGGGGGCCCGCACAAGCGGUGGAGUAUGUGGUUUAAUUCGAAGCAACGCGAAGAACCUUACCAGGGC
rnacentral:rRNA from 1 species